AUGAGCUCAUCCCUGGGCUGAGGUCUGAAGUGGCAGGAGUGGAAAGCUGAUCGCCCAGCUCAGCUCCGGCCAGUGGCCGGAUCGCAAAUGCAAUUUAGACGGUGCAAAAAAUUGCCCGGAGCAAACCAACUGAGGGUCACGUCUGCGGGCAGCAUCUCUCCACAUGAGGAAGGUCCCAGCACCUCAGGACCUGGGCUCUUGCAGAGGCUGGCUACAGAUUGCUUCUUGUAAAUGGGGCCAUAAAUCCAGGAUGUCAAGCCGGAUGGAGUGGAGCGUGGACAGGGGAGAGAUGGAAGGGAAAUAAACCAAGCAGGGAAGGUAUCUCCUUGGGGGAGAGGGGGAGGGAUUCGGCAGGAUCUCCAGGGUGGAAAUGAGCGAAGGCUGACCUGACCCGAACCAUCAGAGUCCAAGCGCGCUUUUAGGGUUAAGGGCGCAGGUAGCCACGGUGUGCUCCGCCCCGGAGGGAGCGCCUCCCUACCUGAAAGAGCCUCAGGAUGUUGGCUACCAUGAUGGACACCGAACUCCCCGAAGCCCCAAUCACUCCAACUACUUUCUCCGGCUUGACGAAAACCGGGGGUUCACCGUUGGUGCAGCGCACGUCGGAGGUGUCCUUCUGGAUGAGCGCCUGGACGAAAGUGAGCGACUGUUCGAGCGCAGAUGGCAUCUGUGUUGCCCAUGCCGGAUGUGAAUGCCUGACCUCAAGCAAUCCUCCUCUCACAGUGCUGGGAUUAUAGGCAAAAAUCACUACACCUGGCUCAUCCUCAAGCUUUUAUGUAUGGGACAAAGUUAAAAGUCCCUGGGAUGGUAGAGCUGCAUGUCCUGGUUAAUCCAGUCAGGAAAAAUAGAUGGAGAAACACCCAGUCUAUUAAAGUAUGAAGAGAAAUUUCCUGAGGAUGAAGCCAAUGUAGAAGCAAGCAAAAUAAGAGGUUGGCCCAGCAUGGUGGCUCACACCUGUAAUUCCAGCACUUUGGGAGGCC